rnacentral:ncRNA from 1 species
GAAAUAAGAAACUCGGGACAAAUCCCAGUGGGAAAGUUCCUCGGAACUACCGAGACUUCUAACC